rnacentral:lncRNA from 1 species
UUAUUAUUUGGGACAUUUAAACCAAAACAAGAAANUUCCUUAUAAUGUUUUCUUUUAAUCUUUGAUCCGCGCCUAAAAUGGUUUAAAAGAAAACAUUAUAAGGAAAUAUCUUGUUUUGGUUUAAAUGUCUCAAAUUAUAACAUAAGUGGGUCUUUGUAUAAUUAUUUACAAAAAGGGAUUGUUUUUUGAAUUUUUAAGAAUUAAGUCGUGUCAAAUUUGGACAACAACGACAGUUGGUGUAUUAAAAUGUAAAAUCCUAACUUUGCGUCAAAUAUGGAUUUUUGGCAAAGUUUGUGUAUUUAGGUGCAAUUUUCCCUUAUAUUAACUAGGUUUUAUUUAUCAAUCUUUAUCUCAACUUAGAUAUCAAACAUGGCCUUAGGGUCUUGUGUGAGAGAUGUCCAAGAUGGUUCUAAAGAAAUAGAGAAAUAUUUUGGGUUUUUGGAAUAAUUUGCUCUGUAAUUGUAAAUAUUUGGGACCUAACCACAACCCAAAACACAACAAGCAAUUACUUGGCUAAUUACACAGAGUGAGUAAUUACGAGUUAUUAUCAAAUGGCUAUUGAAAUGAAACUUAGCUAGAAAAUUAUACUAAAUUUCCCAAUCCAAGAAAAUCUUCAAAAUCACAAAAUCAUGGGAAAGGUAGAAAUUACAAGAUGAAACAUCAGGAGAUUUUCUUUCAUACCUUCAAAAUCAGACGACAGCAGAAAUUCGAAUAGCUAGGGUUAUCGACGAAGGCAGGGGCAGCGUCGCAGGUUUCCGGGUCGCGGCGGCGAGAAGGUAUCGUGCCUGCCGCCAUUGUCCUCGAGGGCUGCGCGUAGGCGGCAGACGAGCGCGUCGAGGCUGCGGCGGCAAUCAAUUAGGGAGUGAAGGGGGUCACGAUUUUGGGUGUAAAUAAUUUCAUGCUUUAGGUUUUUUUAAUUAGCAAAUUGAAUAAAAUUGAGAUAGCAAACCUCGGGUAGAAAAUCGAGAGGUAGAAAGGCCGCAAAUUACAGGUGGAAGGCGUGGAGAUGGUGACCGCGGCGGCGGCGUGGCGACGGAGGCGGCGCUGCAUGUGCGGCCUCGCCGUGCGCGGUGAGUGAUAGAAGGGGAAGAACAGGGAGCGAGAGGCGAAAGGGGAGAUGCCGGUGGUCGCGGUGGCCGAGGGCGGCGCCCUUCGCCGGAGCAGAAGGCGGUGGGGGAUGUUGUGCGUGUUUGUCAGAUUGAGAGAGAGGAGUCCGAUUUUCUUUGAGAGAGAUAGUGUCCGAUUGUUUUUUGUUUUGGGAAAUAGGAUAUCAAUUGUUGUACAUGACAGAGAUGGUGUGUUUUAACUUUGGGCUUCAUUUUAAUGGUUAGAUUGGGUUUUAUUUAAUAAAGUUGGGCUAUUUUUUUUUUUUUUUUUUCGAUACAUAUGAAAAGAAAAAUGUUGAUGAAGAAAAAAAAAUUGUUUGUGAAAUGUAAUUAAUUUUAUAAAAUGUUAGAUAUUGGUUUGUGUAAGUUUGAG